AGCCAUAAGACUAUAUUUUUGGUUAAACCUGCCCAAUGUAGGAUGAAUGGCCGCGGUACUCUGACCGUGCUAAGGUAGCGUAAUCAGUUGGCUUUUAAAUGGAGUCAGGAAUGAAUGGAUUAACCGGGCUUGGCUGUCUCUGAGCUAUUAUUUUGAAUUUACUGUCUAAGUGAAAAAGCUUAGAGUAGGAAAAGGGACGAGAAGACCCUUAGAAUUUUUUCUAAAAAAUUGCUCUUACUGAUUUUGUUGGGGCGACAGAGAAAUAUAUUAAAACUUUCUUUUUUAUACAUGCCGAUUGUAUUAAGACAGGAUAAAUUACCUGAGGGAUAACAGCAUAAUUCUAUAGAUGAGUUUGUGACCUCGAUGUUGGACUAGGAAACUAGCAAGCUAGGCGUUUGUUGUGUGGGUUCUGUUCGAACUUUAAAUCC
rnacentral:rRNA from 1 species